rnacentral:ribozyme from 1 species
UGCCCAGCAACUCCUAUCCCUACCUCCUCGCGGUACUGGCCGGGGUACGAGUAAUCUUAGGGAAGACCGGGUAAUCAACCCCGGUGGGAACUCUGGUGAGAUGCUGACAGGGAAGG